AGCAGAAGGAAACCUUUUUUUCCUUUUUUUUUUCCUUUCGUACCAAACGUUUAUAUUAUAUCAAUAUAUCGAACUUCAAAAUGUACGCAAUUCUAAUCGUACUGAAGUAUUUUACGAAAUCUAAUUCGAUCUAAUUCGAUCUAAUUUAGUGCAAACCGUCGUUGGUUAUUCUCGGUUCGUUUUGAUGAAUUUCACGCAAAGAGAUGUGAAUAUCGAUAUCCAUGAGAUUAUAAAAUUGAGAUCUAAAUUCUAUUUAACUACGGA